rnacentral:sRNA from 1 species
AAAUUGGGAAACUCAUCAAAAUAAAAAGAAAUGCCGAGACAAGUUUGCCUCUCAAUGGCGGGCCCCACAUCGAAAGAUGUUGACCCACGGGUCGCAGGCGGAUUACAAAGAUUGGUAAACCCUCAAAUCCUGUCGUUCGGAGUUUCGUCACAUUCCUUUGAUGU